rnacentral:rRNA from 1 species
GGGUUGUGAGGUUAAGCGACUAAGCGUACACGGUGGAUGCCCUGGCAGUCAGAGGCGAUGAAGGACGUGCUAAUCUGCGAUAAGCGUCGGUAAGGUGAUAUGAACCGUUAUAACCGGCGAUUUCCGAAUGGGGAAACCCAGUGUGAUUCGUCACACUAUCAUUAACUGAAUCCAUAGGUUAAUGAGGCGAACCGGGGGAACUGAAACAUCUAAGUACCCCGAGGAAAAGAAAUCAACCGAGAUUCCCCCAGUAGCGGCGAGCGAACGGGGAGCAGCCCAGAGCCUGAAUCAGUGUGUGUGUUAGUGGAAGCGUCUGGAAAGGCGCGCGAUACAGGGUGACAGCCCCGUACACAAAAAUGCACAUGCUGUGAGCUCGAUGAGUAGGGCGGGACACGUGGUAUCCUGUCUGAAUAUGGGGGGACCAUCCUCCAAGGCUAAAUACUCCUGACUGACCGAUAGUGAACCAGUACCGUGAGGGAAAGGCGAAAAGAACCCCGGCGAGGGGAGUGAAAAAGAACCUGAAACCGUGUACGUACAAGCAGUGGGAGCACAGAGCAAUCUGUGUGACUGCGUACCUUUUGUAUAAUGGGUCAGCGACUUAUAUUCUGUAGCAAGGUUAACCGAAUAGGGGAGCCGAAGGGAAACCGAGUCUUAACUGGGCGUUAAGUUGCAGGGUAUAGACCCGAAACCCGGUGAUCUAGCCAUGGGCAGGUUGAAGGUUGGGUAACACUAACUGGAGGACCGAACCGACUAAUGUUGAAAAAUUAGCGGAUGACUUGUGGCUGGGGGUGAAAGGCCAAUCAAACCGGGAGAUAGCUGGUUCUCCCCGAAAGCUAUUUAGGUAGCGCCUCGUGAAUUCAUCUCCGGGGGUAGAGCACUGUUUCGGCAAGGGGGUCAUCCCGACUUACCAACCCGAUGCAAACUGCGAAUACCGGAGAAUGUUAUCACGGGAGACACACGGCGGGUGCUAACGUCCGUCGUGAAGAGGGAAACAACCCAGACCGCCAGCUAAGGUCCCAAAGUCAUGGUUAAGUGGGAAACGAUGUGGGAAGGCCCAGACAGCCAGGAUGUUGGCUUAGAAGCAGCCAUCAUUUAAAGAAAGCGUAAUAGCUCACUGGUCGAGUCGGCCUGCGCGGAAGAUGUAACGGGGCUAAACCAUGCACCGAAGCUGCGGCAGCGACGCUUAUGCGUUGUUGGGUAGGGGAGCGUUCUGUAAGCCUGUGAAGGUGUACUGUGAGGUAUGCUGGAGGUAUCAGAAGUGCGAAUGCUGACAUAAGUAACGAUAAAGCGGGUGAAAAGCCCGCUCGCCGGAAGACCAAGGGUUCCUGUCCAACGUUAAUCGGGGCAGGGUGAGUCGACCCCUAAGGCGAGGCCGAAAGGCGUAGUCGAUGGGAAACAGGUUAAUAUUCCUGUACUUGGUGUUACUGCGAAGGGGGGACGGAGAAGGCUAUGUUGGCCGGGCGACGGUUGUCCCGGUUUAAGCGUGUAGGCUGGUUUUCCAGGCAAAUCCGGAAAAUCAAGGCUGAGGCGUGAUGACGAGGCACUACGGUGCUGAAGCAACAAAUGCCCUGCUUCCAGGAAAAGCCUCUAAGCAUCAGGUAACAUCAAAUCGUACCCCAAACCGACACAGGUGGUCAGGUAGAGAAUACCAAGGCGCUUGAGAGAACUCGGGUGAAGGAACUAGGCAAAAUGGUGCCGUAACUUCGGGAGAAGGCACGCUGAUAUGUAGGUGAAGUCCCUCGCGGAUGGAGCUGAAAUCAGUCGAAGAUACCAGCUGGCUGCAACUGUUUAUUAAAAACACAGCACUGUGCAAACACGAAAGUGGACGUAUACGGUGUGACGCCUGCCCGGUGCCGGAAGGUUAAUUGAUGGGGUCAGCGCAAGCGAAGCUCUUGAUCGAAGCCCCGGUAAACGGCGGCCGUAACUAUAACGGUCCUAAGGUAGCGAAAUUCCUUGUCGGGUAAGUUCCGACCUGCACGAAUGGCGUAAUGAUGGCCAGGCUGUCUCCACCCGAGACUCAGUGAAAUUGAACUCGCUGUGAAGAUGCAGUGUACCCGCGGCAAGACGGAAAGACCCCGUGAACCUUUACUAUAGCUUGACACUGAACAUUGAGCCUUGAUGUGUAGGAUAGGUGGGAGGCUUUGAAGUGUGGACGCCAGUCUGCAUGGAGCCGACCUUGAAAUACCACCCUUUAAUGUUUGAUGUUCUAACGUUGACCCGUAAUCCGGGUUGCGGACAGUGUCUGGUGGGUAGUUUGACUGGGGCGGUCUCCUCCUAAAGAGUAACGGAGGAGCACGAAGGUUGGCUAAUCCUGGUCGGACAUCAGGAGGUUAGUGCAAUGGCAUAAGCCAGCUUGACUGCGAGCGUGACGGCGCGAGCAGGUGCGAAAGCAGGUCAUAGUGAUCCGGUGGUUCUGAAUGGAAGGGCCAUCGCUCAACGGAUAAAAGGUACUCCGGGGAUAACAGGCUGAUACCGCCCAAGAGUUCAUAUCGACGGCGGUGUUUGGCACCUCGAUGUCGGCUCAUCACAUCCUGGGGCUGAAGUAGGUCCCAAGGGUAUGGCUGUUCGCCAUUUAAAGUGGUACGCGAGCUGGGUUUAGAACGUCGUGAGACAGUUCGGUCCCUAUCUGCCGUGGGCGCUGGAGAACUGAGGGGGGCUGCUCCUAGUACGAGAGGACCGGAGUGGACGCAUCACUGGUGUUCGGGUUGUCAUGCCAAUGGCACUGCCCGGUAGCUAAAUGCGGAAGAGAUAAGUGCUGAAAGCAUCUAAGCACGAAACUUGCCCCGAGAUGAGUUCUCCCUGACUCCUUGAGAGUCCUGAAGGAACGUUGAAGACGACGACGUUGAUAGGCCGGGUGUGUAAGCGCAGCGAUGCGUUGAGCUAACCGGUACUAAUGAACCGUGAGGCUUAACCUUACAACGCCGAAGGUGUUU